AAGGUCUAUCUAGUCCAUACCCUGAUUUUGGCAGUAGCCAAGAGCAGUAUAUUAGAUUUUAACGGUAAUGGCUUUGAUCUUUCAGUGAGUAUUAAGUUGGUGACUAAGCAGAAAACGAAAAGAAAUCCCAAGAGCAGAGUAUUCCACAACUCAGAAGAAACAGCAAGUGAAUCCGUUUCUCCCUGUGCCUCAGACCUAGCUCAAGGUCCCCUUCUCACCAGAAAUACAACUGCUUUGGGGUACUACAGCCAGUUUUUCUGUUGCAAAAUGGAAGUGCACGAUUAAACUCCAGCAACAUGGAGGGGAAAGAAAUGGCUGGAGAAGAAUGCGGAGCAGACAACAGCAGGUCAGCAUAAGCAUAGUUUGAAUUCUCGCUGUGAGUAAGAGCUCCCUUUUUCCAGUGAAACAGUACUUAAAAGUGCUUGGGAUUUAUCUUAUCUUUAUAAGUGCUGCUAUCUCAAUUAAAUUUCACCUGUGAUACCAACAGCCCUCCUGGAGACCAAAAGGAAAUUGAACAGGUUGGUCAACCCACAGCAGUGGUUAUUUCCAGGCCCCGUGCGCACCAGAGACAAAAAGGGCACAGAGGAGGAGCAGAGGUGAGAUGUGAUGGUUGGCUGACAAGUCCAGGUCGUGCUGCCAUGACUCACCAACAAGAGAGUUGCUUCUGAAGGUGAACUUCAACCCUGCAGACCACAGCAGGGAAGUAAGAGGUGUAAAUUGAUGAAAUUCUGUCUGAAAGGAAAUUCCUGUUACUUCAGUAUUGAACAACAGCAUUUCAUGACUGCCAGUAAUUGACAUGCAUGAGAGAUCUAGCAAUAUGACUGUGGUUGCUUGGCCCUUGCUAAUGAACAAGACAUCAUUCAACAGCGUUGGCAUCACAGCAUCUGCUCUGUAUCCAGUCCAAAACUGGACACUGAAAGGACCCAGGAUGCUGGUGGCAGGUAUGUGAAUGUGCACAAUUCUGCCUAAACUUCUCAAACACCUUGCUGUAAUAAAGGAUUUCAACAUCAAAAGGCAGUUUGUGAGGACAGCUACGCUCAGCAAUGAUUUCUUAAGAACUGGCUGGGCUAUU